AUAAAAUUUAAACUUCUCUAAGUAAACAUUCAAAAGAUGCCAUUUUCGCAUGGCUUAUAUACAUUAACCAAAAUAUCCUCUCACUACUAGUCUAUUUUAUACAUGCCAUAAGAUAAUCCAAAACGUAGCAGUACCAAACAAUGGAUAGUGAUAGUGUGACUAGUUGCUGAUGAUCCCCGAGCCUGUAGCUUCGCAAUGAGAUCUAUAAAACAGAGGAAACAGAGUAAACGGAGUAAGCAUUACAAUGCUUAGUAAGUUUUAAGCAGUGUCAACAGAUAACAAUCAAAUUAUAACAAAGAUGUUCGUAUUUUUAUUUCACUCUUCCUUCGGGCAUACCAUCCCUUUACCGAAUAUGCACAUCUCAUCAUAUACAAUAGGCAGAUAAACUUUCACAUAAAAGUGAGCUCAUGUGACAUAGAUAUAUCGUAUGAUUUCACAUAACCUCUCACACUGAUCCGAUGUCACAUAAUCAUAGGAAUAGUCUCAUAGAUUGCUCUCGUAUGCAUCACAUAACUACCUUAUGAUUUAGUGCAAAUCAAGCUCACAUAUAAACUUGGAGUACAUACCUGUUUAAGCUUUCGCAUUGAAUAUAUUUAUAAGCAAUUCUUAUUACGAAGUCUUAUAGCUUUAACCUCUACUCGGAUUAUCGGCGAGACCUUUAGCUCAGACGUAAUCUCCACACGAAGUUUCGGGUCUUUAGAGCUCGGAUAUAGUACGAGCACGAAGCCUACGGACAUUAAUCAGUGAUAAUAUUCUCGCAUAAAACCUGCGGGGUUUUAACCCGGAUAUAGUACUGACACAAAUGCCCUUCGGGACUUAUCACAUUUAUACACUUUCACGUCCAUCACGUUGGCCACUCGGCCCUGUCACAUAUAUACACUUUCACAUUCAUCACAUCGGCUAUUAGGCCUUAUCACAUAUAUACACCUUCACAUUCAUCACAUCGGCCAUUAGGCCUUAUCACAUAUAUAUACACUUUCACAUUCAUCACAUUGGCCAUUCGGCCUUAUCACAUAUAUACACUUUCACAUUCAUCACAUCGUCCAUUAGGCCUUAUCACAUAUAUAUACACUUUCACAUUCAUCACAACGGCCAUUCGGCCUUAUCACAUAUAUACACUUUCACAUUCAUCACAUCGGCCAUUAGGCCUUAUCACAUAUAUACACUUUCACAUUCAUCACAUCGGCCAUUCGGCCUUAUCACAUAUAUACACUUUCACAUUCAUCACAUCGGCUAUUAGGCCUUAUCACAUAUAUACACUUUCACAUUCAUCACAUCGGCCAUUAGGCCUUAUCACAUAUAUAUACACUUUCACAUUCAUCACAUCGGCUAUUAGGCUUUAUCACAUAUAUACACUUUCACAUUCAUCACAUAGGCCAUUAGGCCUUAUCACAUAUAUAUAAACUUUCACAUUCCACAUAUACUAUCAUGUAUACACUUUGUCUUGGCCGAAUCUACAUCAAUCAUUUUCCAAUGAAUAAUUCAAUUUCACACCAUACUAUCAUUUCCCAUUCGAAUACUCAUAACUUACAAUUUCACAAAUUUUAAUAUCAAAGAUCCGUCUAACACUCAUAUAUCGUUUUAUGAUAUCACGAUUUAGAAUUCAUGUAUGGGUUUAAUCAAUAGCUUAUGAGCAACUAAAACAAGUUUUAUCCAUGUUUACAACAAAAUCACAUUUUCACUACGAGCUGUUUUCCUGAGCAAUAGUCACUAAAUUAUUUAUAACUGGAGCUACAAAACUCCAAAUCACUUUCCGUUAAUUUUCCCUGAAUAUAGACUCGUAUAUCUUCCAUCCAUAAAAUUUUCAGAAUUUUAGGUUUGGCCAAUCAAUACCAGAUUUUUCUUAAAGUUCCCCUGUUUCACUGUUUGACUAAUCUGACCACUCUUCACUACAAAUCAAAUUUUUCAUUGUAUAGAAUUCAUAAUGUGUUCUAUUUGAUUUCAUUUGAAACUAGACUCAUUAAGGAGUCUAAGCAUAUAAAUCUUAUUUUAUAACCAUUUUUUUACAAAUUAUAAUGAUUUUCCAAAAACAGAACAGGGGAUUUCAGAGUCAUUCUGACACUGUCCCACACAACUUUAAAUAUCUCUUUAUAGGAGAUUUCUUUGCUUCCACGGUCUCUUUUAUAAGAAACUAGACUAAAUAAGCUUUGAUUACAUAUUUUAUUUAGCCUUUAACUCAACUCCCACAAUUUAUGGUAAUUUUUUCAAAACACGCUAAUGCUGCUGUCCCUUGCAGAUUUAUACAAUUUACUCUGUAAAGUUCUCAUUCACAUAUUUAAAACAUAAUAUCAUAUAUGCCGUUUUCCAUAUCAUUCUUCAUUAUAACUAAACUUAUAUGCUAGAAACUUACCUUAAAAGUUGUCGACGACUAUAAUUCUACUGCUAUUCGCUUAGUUUUGUCGUC
rnacentral:lncRNA from 1 species